CCAGACUUGGAACCGGGAGAGGUAAGAGGUACUACAGGGGUAGGAGUGAAAUCUUGUAAUCCCUGUGGGACCACCUGUGGCGAAGGCGUCUUACCAGAACGGGUUCGACGGUGAGGGACGAAAGCUGGGGGCACGAACCGGAUUAGAUACCCGGGUAGUCCCAGCCGUAAACGAUGCUCGCUAGGUGUCAGGCAUGGCGCGACCGUGUCUGGUGCCGCAGGGAAGCCGUGAAGCGAGCCACCUGGGAAGUACGGCCGCAAGGCUGAAACUUAAAGGAAUUGGCGGGGGAGCACAACAACGGGUGGAGCCCUGCGGUUUAAUUGGACUCAACGCCGGACAACUCACCGGGGGCGACAGCAAUAUGUAGGCCAAGCUGAAGACUUUGCCUGAAUCGCUGAGGAGAGGUGCAUGG
rnacentral:rRNA from 1 species